rnacentral:rRNA from 1 species
UACGUAGGGUGCAAGCGUUGUCCGGAAUUAUUGGGCGUAAAGAGCUCGUAGGCGGCUUGUCGCGUCGGCUGUGAAAACCUGGGGCUCAACCCCGGGCCUGCAGCCGAUACGGGCAGACUAGAGUGCGGUAGGGGAGACUGGAAUUCCUGGUGUAGCGGUGAAAUGCGCAGAUAUCAGGAGGAACACCGGUGGCGAAGGCGGCUCUCGUGGGACGGUACUGACGCUGAGACGCGAAAGCGUGGGGGAGCGAACAGG